UGUGCCUCAGGAAACUCAGAAAUCCUGAAGAAGGAAACUCGACAUUUUGAAUGUAGGAAGGAAGUAUAAUUUCAUUUUGGAUACAGUGAAAUUUAAUGAAAGAUGAACAGCAUAAUACAGCACACUCAUUUCACAGAUGGAGAAAGCAGGGGUCAGAGGGCCUGAGAGAGAGACUGAGAGAGUCUGCUGUCUGAGGAGCAUGAAUCAGUCUCCGACGGUAGCAAUAACCCUGGAAUUCCUGGGAUCCUGUGCGGCAUUCUCGACAGCUGCAUCUGCUUAGACUUUGGGGCUCUGUGCUGCCUUCCAGGAAUGAGCCAAAGCCCCAGGAAGAGGCCACAUCACUGCUAAGUGAAGAGGACCCUGGUGUGGGGCACUGAGCGCAUUUCAGGAAAGAGAGCCAAGCCCAGAUCUGUCAUCCACCUGUCGCUGUAACACUCAGACCUCAGUGAAGCAGGAAGUACUCUCAUCCUCCAAACUCUAGGGUCAAAGGAAUGACAGGUAUGUGAGUGCUUUUUAUACACAAGCAUUCGCAAGUCCAUAUAUAGAAGAUUUGGAGGAAUGUAUACAUCAAGUUGUGAAUAAUGGUUAACUCUGAAAAUGAACUGUGGUAUUUUUAA